rnacentral:rRNA from 1 species
UACGUAGGGAGCGAGCGUUGUCCGGAUUCAUUGGGCGUAAAGAGCUCGUAGGCGGUUCAGUAAGUCGGGUGUGAAAUCUCCGUGCUCAACACGGAGCGGCCACCUGAUACUGCUGUGACUCGAGUCCGGUAGGGGAGUGUGGAAUUCCCGGUGUAGCGGUGAAAUGCGCAGAUAUCAGGAGGAACACCGGUGGCGAAGGCGGGUCUCUGGGCCGAUAUUGACGCUGAGGAGCGAAAGCGUGGGGAGCGAACAGG